AACUGAAAAAGGUUGUUUUUUAUUUCUCUUCUCCAUCGUUAAUAAUCCAUUUAGUUGACUUGUAAUAACAUAUUUAUUUGACGUGUAAUAACAAUAAUAAUCAUAACAGAAAGAGAAGCAACGUUGGACGGUGGAAUGAUAUUAAAUUGUGUUAAUAAAUUUAAAAGAGCUAUUACUAUUUCAGAAAUAGAUUGUUUAGUUAAUAAAAUAGUUUUGUUUAUUAAUCUUGCUGAUUAUAACCACAUCCAUCUGCAGGAGCAGGAGGAUUGUAGUCUUUUGUUAAAUUGAUAUAUUCAUUACGAUCAAACCCAUAGGAAGGUUUUGGAGGACGACGAAUUUUUUCUAUGACGGUUUUUUAUAAGAUUUAUUAGAAUGAGGAGAAAUUACAUUAUGAAUCCCAUUCUGGUUUAAGUUUACUGUACUAUUUACAAUAACUGGAUUAGAUCUUAGAGUGUCAGCAUAUGAUUUAAUAGAAGGAGCAUGCAAUUUGCUUGUUUCAGCGUAGGAGAAGCAACUUUUAGCCAUUGUUUCUUUAAUUGCCUUUUGCCUUGAAAAUUAUGGACAUUUUUUGCUGUUUGCCUGGUGAGCACCUUGGUAUAAACAGAAGUAAAAAUCUUCUUCAUGAACAAAACAAGAUUAUCCAGAGUGGCGAUGACCACACUUAUAACAACGUGGAACAGAUCUACAUUGAUUUUUAAUAUGGCCAUACCUACAGUAAUUAUAACACUGAAUGGUAGGGUAUAUAUACAAAUCAACAGGCAACGAAUUAUAACACAUGAAAACUCGUUUAGACUACCAUCAAUUACAUUUUUGAAAGGGUUUUUCUGAAGAAAACGUCCAAAGGCUAUUGGGUGAAGUGAAGAAUUAUCAUCCGGGGAUGAUAAAAUUUUCUGUAUGUGAACGGUGAAUGAAGCAGAAUCAUGAGGUUCAUAAUAAACUCUACUAAUAAAGUUCUGUGGACGAGAUGAGUCAUUCUCCUGAUUAUUUAUUAAAUUAUUGUCAUAAGA